GCCCGUCAGCCAUAGCUGCUGAGCCUGCGCGUCCGGAGCCUGUGCUCCACAACGGGAGAGGCCACAACGGUGCGAGGCCCGCGUACGGCAAAAAAAAAAAAAAAAGAUAGACUACAAAAUAUCUACCUUGUGCAGUCUCUUCUUAACAUGUUGGGUGAUUUUGCCUUCAUUUCUCAAGUAUCCAUAAUAGUAGGAGUGUUUAUAUUUUACAUUUAAAUAAUAGUGAGUAGAAUAUAGAGGAAAUGAAGUAAUUAUUGCAAUUCAUUCUCCUAAAUGAAAUGUGUUGUUUGAAUGAAUGUAGGCUUAGAUCUCAAUUCCUGGGCUCACCACUUUUUCUCUCUUUCUCUAGGGAUGUUAAGAAAUAUAAAAUAAAUCAUUUAAUUAAAAUUCUUGAGGGUGGAAAUAUAUGGGCAGUGUGUGGAUUUUGGUUAGAAUGUCUGUUGUCAUUAAGGCAGGUUGGCUACGUUGUAAAAGGUCAUAGGUGUGUGUUUUGACAUCUUCAGGUGGAAAUGUUUUAAGAAUUUGAAAUGUGCUCAUAAAGGCAAAAGGGGAAAAGUUACGAAGAUUUUAAGGAGAAAAUCAGUGCCUUUAGGUACGUGAUGGGAAACUAGGCAGUCUCUGGCACAAGCAUCACUGUAUCUAUUGAGUGCUGACUGAGUUACCUUAGAUUUCAACAGAAGGGAAUAUUAUACCAGACAAGAAUUUAUCUUGGGACAGUUAGUAUGCCUUUACCCUAGGCAAUUGUAAACAUUUAGUGUUAUGAGAUUUAGUUAAUAAAAUAUUAAGAUGAUGAUGUCUGAAAUCAUCAUCAUCAUCAUCAUCAUUAUGGCAUUUAAUUUUUUUCUUUAUAGUUUACAAAGUGAUUCACAGCAUUGAAAAUAAUUUAAAGAAAUCUCACAUCCUUUACAAUUUAGAUGGAAAUUGAGGCUCAGGGAUCCUCACUACCUUCUCCAAAGACGCAUGUUAAACUCAGGACCACGGAGAAUAAGUUUUAAGCUCAUUUCCUCUAUAACAAUGAUUGCAGGCAAAGGAUAUCCAGCAGAGAGGCCUUCGGAAAUGAGCCAGAGGCUCCGAAUGAGCGUUGGAGGAAUGGACGAGGAGGGACAGAUCAGUCCAGUGACCUGAGAAAAGUCCUGAAGCUUUUGGCUUUCCAGCCAUCUUUCCAACAUACAGAAAUUGUAGCUAAGGAUAAAGGGAAUGAAGAGAAUUAUUGGCCAGGAAGGAAAGAUAAAUUAAUUGAUUUUUUUAUUUGUUAAGAGAUCCAGAGGCAACUUUACAGUUAUAUAUUCAUCUCCACUUUGGGAAACUUAAUUUCUUUCAUGAAAACUGUCCAUUUUCACUUUACUUUUCAAAAUCCCUUUAAAAAUUAUACUAAGUAUGCCUGAGGAUUGCUGAAAUUGCUUUCUACCUGUGCAGAUUUUGUGGAAAGGCUGUUUUCUUUUUAAAUGUAUGCUACUUAAUUACAUGCAAUUUAAAGUUAACCUUUUUAGGAAGUUAACACAGUGCGAUCGGUAGUUUGAUUAAUGACAUAUUGGUAAGAGGUAGUAUUUUUUUUUUCAUGAGAGUGCUCAAUUUGAGAGAUGACUUCUUGCAAAUAGACUCAUCUACAGAUGAAAAUCAGACCCCUGUAUUCUACCAAGACCUCAGACCCCUAUAUUCUACCGAGAGCCAUUCUUAUUGUGGUCACUUUAAGCAUUUUGCAUUGGUUUACCAGGAAAACGCUCUUUUCCUAUGCUAGUUUACUGUACAUUUGACCCUUGAACAGCACAGGUUUGAAUUGCACUGGUCCAAUACGUGUUUUUUUUUCAGCAGUAGCUAGGAAGGAACCAUGGAUACAGAAGACUUACUAUAAAUUAUGCACAGAUUUUUGACUGCUGGGAGGGUCAACGGCUUUAAUCCCUGUGUUGUUCGAGGGUCAUCUGUAAUUAUACCUAUCAAAUUUUAUGUUUUAUAUAUAUAUAAAUACAAUAUUGAUUUUAUAAAAAUCAAGUUUUAGUACUACAUUUUCUUAUGUUAAAUAUGUAAAUUUUACUUCAUUUUAAUGUUGAAACUAUAUCAAGAAAACAAAUGAUAAUAGUUUAAUUAAAAUGUGAAGAAAGCCAUUUGAGAUAAGAAAGAUUGAAAUUGUUUUAAAAGUUUAAUUCAAAAAUAAACAGAAUAAAUGAAAAAUACAUAUUGUUUUAGGGUUUAUUAAUAUGGUUUAAAAUACGUGGACAAGAAGUGGCUGUGUAGCUGGUGUUUGGCAUUGUAACAUUAAUAGAUGUUCUUGUAUGGUUUUAGUUUCAAAACUGUGAAAAGGUAUGGAUCUUUUUCAAUGAAAAGUAAGAAACUACCAUUAAAUAUUUUAAAUGUUCUCUUUACACAACAAAAUGUAGGUAAUUGAUAACUAACUUAUUGAUAUUUUAAAAUCUAAUGACAAUUUUCAUUGAUAUUUAGUGUAUAUGUACAUAUUUUUCAAACUGACUCAGUCUCAACUGAAUAACUGAAUAGAACAUUCUCAAAAUAUAAGUGUCAUCUUUUACAUUAGAGGAAAAUAGAAUUUGAGAUUCAGAUAUAUUAUUCUGUAAAAUAUAUUAAAAAUUUGCAAAACCAGAAGUCUCAGCCAGAUUUUUUCUCUUUCCCUCAUAUUUAGCAGGUUUACCAGCAAUUACUGUGGCAGCUAAGGAUAUAAAAGCUAUACUUAGGCACAGUGGAAAAGAAUAUUGUGACCGCUUAAUAAUGUCUGCAUGGGUGUGAGUGAGUCACAAGUGGCAGUGCACCGCUGAGACUAGGCUUAAGAGACCCUGCAUGUUGCUGCUUGCUCUCUCCCACUUCUGCCACCACCAUGAUGUACACACUCCGCCUGGCCUGCUGCCUCCCAAAGGAAAACGAGAGCCGGGAUCACCUGACCUCCAGCUAAUUAACAAAUGGAUGCAGAAGCCCAGCUGAGAUCAACAGGGUCUCCAGCAGACAGAUAAAAGAUUCACGUCUGGGCUUACCUGGUGGCGCAGUGGUUGAGAGUCCGCCCGCCGAUGCAGGGGACACGGGUUCGUGCCCCGGUCCGGGAAG